rnacentral:rRNA from 1 species
UACGGAGGGGGCUAGCGUUGUUCGGAAUUACUGGGCGUAAAGCGCACGUAGGCGGCUUUGUAAGUUAGAGGUGAAAGCCCAGGGCUCAACCCUGGAAUUGCCUUUAAGACUGCAUCGCUUGAACAUCGGAGAGGUAAGUGGAAUUCCGAGUGUAGAGGUGAAAUUCGUAGAUAUUCGGUAGAACACCAGUGGCGAAGGCGGCUUCCUGGCCUACUACUGACGCUGUGGCGCGAAAGCUGGGGGAGCGAACGGG